UACGGUAGGCAGCAAGCGUUGUUCGGAGUUACUGGGCGUAAAGAGUGCGUAGGCGGUGCUCUAAAGUUUGGUGUGAAAUCUCCCGGCUUAACUGGGAGGGUGCGCCGAAAACUGGAGUGCUUGAGUAUGGGAGAGGCAAAGCGGAAUUCCUGGUGUAGCGGUGAAAUGCGUAGAUAUCAGGAGGAACACCUGUGGUGUAGACGGCUUUCUGGACCAUAACUGACGCUGAGGCACGAAAGCGUGGGUAGCAAACAGG
rnacentral:rRNA from 1 species